rnacentral:rRNA from 1 species
AUCCUGGCUCAGAUUGAACGCUGGCGGCAUGCUUUACACAUGCAAGUCGAACGGCAGCACGGGUGCUUGCACCUGGUGGCGAGUGGCGGACGGGUGAGUAAUGCAUCGGAACGUGUCCUGAAGUGGGGGAUAACGCAUCGAAAGAUGUGCUAAUACCGCAUAAUCUCUAAGGAGAAAAGUAGGGGAUCGAAAGACCUUAUGCUUUUGGAGCGGCCGAUGUCUGAUUAGCUAGUUGGUAAGGUAAUGGCUUACCAAGGCGACGAUCAGUAGUUGGUCUGAGAGGACGGCCAGCCACACUGGGACUGAGACACGGCCCAGACUCCUACGGGAGGCAGCAGUGGGGAAUUUUGGACAAUGGGCGCAAGCCUGAUCCAGCAAUGCCGCGUGAGUGAAGAAGGCCUCGGUGUAAGCUCUUCAGUUGAAAGAAAAAACUAAGUAACUAAUACUUAUAG